UAAGUUCAGUGGUUGUUCGCACAACAAAUUGGAGGUCCCACCGAGAUCUCUUCUGGGGUUCGGACGUUACGGGGGGGAAAAGGUGUCCAGGACACUGACGCUCGGACGUCCUCAAAGAAUAUCAGCAGGUCCACGGCAAACACAGCCCCCUGGGAGAACCCACCUUGCCAACCGCUGAGUGGGUGUUGUUGAGGGUGAUUAAAAGGAAGUGGCCAGAACCGCGCUGGACCGGUCCCUACCACGUAACUGAGAGAACAUCCCAUGCCGUCCGCCUGAAAGGAAAGGGGGACACCUGGUACCACUGGAGUCAGUGCGCGCCAGCUAAGGAGCCAGGCAGAAAUCUGACGGACACGGCCGAGGACCUCAAACUCGUAAACUGAACCGUGUCUUUUGCUUGGUAGACCAAAACAGCCGAGUUAAGUUGCGUGRGGGCUCAGAAGGACUCUGUUAAAUUGGGCCACUCGGUGUUGGAAUAUUCACACAUAGCACAGACAUCUCCCCCGA